GAUGAACGCUGGCGGCGUGCCUAAUACAUGCCAGUCGAGCGAACGGACGAGAAGCUUGCUUCUCUGAUGUUAGCGGCGGACGGGUGAGUAACACGUGGGUAACCUACCUAUAAGACUGGGAUAACUUCGGGAAACCGGAGCUAAUACCGGAUAAUAUUUUGAACCGCAUGGUUCAAAAGUGAAAGACGGUCUUGCUGUCACUUAUAGAUGGAUCCGCGCUGCAUUAGCUAGUUGGUAAGGUAACGGCUUACCAAGGCAACGAUGCAUAGCCGACCUGAGAGGGUGAUCGGCCACACUGGAACUGAGACACGGUCCAGACUCCUACGGGAGGCAGCAGUAGGGAAUCUUCCGCAAUGGGCGAAAGCCUGACGGAGCAACGCCGCGUGAGUGAUGAAGGUCUUCGGAUCGUAAAACUCUGUUAUUAGGGAAGAACAUAUGUGUAAGUAACUGUGCACAUCUUGACGGUACCUAAUCAGAAAGCCACGGCUAACUACGUG
rnacentral:rRNA from 1 species